rnacentral:rRNA from 1 species
AAAUAAUAAAAGGCUCUUUGGUGGAUAACUAGGUACCCAGAACGAGGAAUGGCGAAAAUUGGCGAAAUGCUUCGAAGAGUUUCUUUUGAAAUACGGAUUCGAAGAUACCAAAAUAGGUGAACCUUAAUAUACUGUUGAACAGCGGACAAGAGUCAACUUGGUGAAUUGAAACAUCUUAGUAACCAAAGGACAAGAAAACAAAAGUAAUAUGUGAUUCCCUUAGUAGUGGUGAGCAAAUAGGGAACAGCCUAUGAUUGAUAAUUGAUACAAAUAAAAACUAGUUGAAGCGUAUGUGGAUUUAACACCCUAGAUGGUGAGAGUCCAGUAGUUAAAAGUUAUAAUAUUCAAAUGAAUGUUUAUUCCAGUCAAAGUAUCAUGAGACAAGUAAAAUCUCGUGUGAAUUAAUCGGGUAUCACCCCGUAAGGCUAAAUACUACUGGGUAACCAAUAGUAAAAUAGUACUAUAAAGGAAAGUUGAAAAAGAAACAUUAAAAGGUAGUGAAAUAGAACGUAAAACCAUGAGCUAGCAAACAGUGGGAAGAGAAAAUUGAUUAUCUUUUACCAUUUGCCUGUUGAAGAAUGAGCCGUCGAAUCAUGCCCAGUGGCCUGGUUAAGAAAAAUGAUUGGAGCCAUAGUUAACGCGAGCAUACAGGAGUGCAAUUGUCAUUGUGUAUGGACCCGAAACCGUGUGAUCUAUCCAUGACCAGGAUGAAGUUUUUGGUAAAACUAAAUGGAGGUCCUAACUGAUUGGUGUUGAAAAAUCAUCGGAUGAGUUGUGGUUAGGGGUGAAAUGCCAUUCGAACCCGGAUUUAGCUGGUUCCCCCCGAAAUGUGUUUAUGCACAGCAGUUGACUUGCUUAUUAGGGGUAAAGCUCUGUUUCGGUUCUAUACUAUGAGAUAAACUUAUAAAUACUAAAAUAAAUAAUUAUGAACAGCUGGUGAGACAAUGAGGGAUAAGCUUCAUAGUCAAGAGGGAAACAACCCAGAUUGCUGUAUAAGGUCCUUUAAUGAUCGUUAAACGAAAAAAGGUGUAUGCGUUCCUAAACAAUCAAAAGGUUUGACUAGAAGCAAAUAUCCUUUAAAGAGUGCGUAAUAGAUCAUUGAUAUAGUGUGCAUAUACUGAGAAUGAAGCGGGUCUAAGUGAUCUACCGAAGUCGCAAGAUUUUAAUCGGUAGGGGGGCGUCUUACAAACAAAGUGAGAGUGAGAAUGUCGGCUUGAGUAACGAAAACAUUGGUGUGAAUCCAAUGCUCCGAAAACCUAAGGAUUUCCAAAUUGUAUAUUAGGGGUGAGUCAGGGCCUAAAAUAAUUCCGAAAGGAUGAAUUGAUGGACAGAUGGUGAAUAUUCUUUUACUACUCCCUAUUUAUCCUUUGAAGGACGAAGAAGGCUAAGUUAAUCGUUUAAUAACGGUUUAAAGGAUAAGAUAAAAGGGAUAGGAAUAUCCUAGUCAAUGACUAUAUUAGCCCACGCCAUAUUUACAGGAAAAAUUCAAACGGAAGAAACAAGUGGGGGAUACCUGUACCAAAAACUUACACUGGUGGGUAGGUAAGUAGUACCUAGGGGUACGAGAUAACUCUCUCUAAGGAAUUAGGCAAAAUGGCUCCGUAACUUAGGAAGAAGGAGUACCUCCCAUGGGGGUAGGUUGCAAUAACUCAAUCCGGACGACUGUUUAACAAAAACACAAGUCCCCGCAAAAUCGUAAGAUCAUGUAUGGGGGCUGACGCCUGCCCAGUGCCGUAAGGUAAAAAUAAAGGAUUUUAUUGAUUAGGUAUAAUCCUAAUAUCUAAACCCCGGUGAACGGCGGCCGUAACUAUAACGGUCCUAAGGUAGCGAAAUUCCUUGUCGGGUAAGUUCCGACCCGCACGAAAGGCGUAACGAUCUGGAUGCUGUCUCAGAGGGGGGCUCGGUGAAAUAGAUUUGUCUGUGAAGAUGCGGACUAAUAACACCCGGACAGAAAGACCCUAUGAAGCUUUACUGUUCCCAUAAAUGGUUUUUUAAUCUUUUUACUAAGUGGUGGAUCAAUAAGUUAUUUAUUAGAUCAUAAAUGAGAUACCACUGAUUAAGAUUGAAAAUUCUAAUCAAAGAGAAAGAGACACUUUAUGGUAGACAGUUUAUAUGGGGCGUAGGCCCCCAAAAGAGUAACGGGGGCGCACAAUAAGGUUUUCGUCACCAUGUGGAAUUGGAAUUAAAACGCAAAGGUAAAAGAGAAUUUGACUGAUAGACACACUUGUCAAACAGGGACUAAGGUCGGUCUUAGUGAUCCGAAGGUACCAAGUGAGGGGGCCGUCGCUCAACGGAUAAAAGUUACUCUAGGGAUAACAGGCUGAUCCUUCCCAAUAGUUCACAUUGACGGGGGGGCUUGGCACCUCGAUGUCGGCUCUUCGCCACCUGGGGUUGUAGAAUGUCCCAAGGGUUGGGUUGUUCGCCCAUUAAAGCGGUACGUGAGCUGGGUUCAGAACGUCGUGAGACAGUUCGGUCCAUAUCCGGUGUUAUAUAAUUUUAGCAUUGAGGGAUUCUUACUCAAGUACGAGAGGACCGUGUGGGUUACACCUCUGGUGUACCAGUUAUUGUACCAUCGGUAAUGCUGGGUAUCCAAGUGUGAAGCAUAAUAAUUGCUGAAAGCAUAUAAGCAAUAAGUACACCCAAGAUGAGUGCUUCU